rnacentral:rRNA from 1 species
ACUCCUACGGGAGGCAGCAGUGAGGAAUAUUGGACAAUGGGUGGAAGCCUGAUCCAGCCAUCCCGCGUGCAGGAAGACGGCCCUAUGGGUUGUAAACUGCUUUUAUCUGGGGAUAAACCUACUUACGUGUAAGUAGCUGAAGGUACCAGAAGAAUAAGCACCGGCUAACUCCGUGCCAGCAGCCGCGGUAAUACGGAGGGUGCAAGCGUUAUCCGGAUUUAUUGGGUUUAAAGGGUCCGUAGGCGGACUGAUAAGUCAGUAGUGAAAUCCGACAGCUUAACUGUCGAACUGCCAUUGAUACUGUUAGUCUUGAGUAAGGUUGAAGUGGCUGGAAUAAGUAGUGUAGCGGUGAAAUGCAUAGAUAUUACUUAGAACACCAAUUGCGAAGGCAGGUCACUAAGUCUUAACUGACGCUGAUGGACGAAAGCGUGGGGAGCGAACAGGAUUAGAAACCCUGGUAGUCCCAUGA